rnacentral:rRNA from 1 species
UGGGGAAUUUUGGACAAUGGGCGAAAGCCUGAUCCAGCAAUGCCGCGUGUGUGAAGAAGGCCUUCGGGUUGUAAAGCACUUUUGUCCGGAAAGAAAUCCUUGGCUCUAAUACAGUCGGGGGGAUGACGGUACCGGAAGAAUAAGCACCGGCUAACUACGUGCCAGCAGCCGCGGUAAUACGUAGGGUGCAAGCGUUAAUCGGAAUUACUGGGCGUAAAGCGUGCGCAGGCGGUUUGCUAAGACCGAUGUGAAAUCCCCGGGCUCAACCUGGGAACUGCAUUGGUGACUGGCAGGCUAGAGUAUGGCAGAGGGGGGUAGAAUUCCACGUGUAGCAGUGAAAUGCGUAGAGAUGUGGAGGAAUACCGAUGGCGAAGGCAGCCCCCUGGGCCAAUACUGACGCUCAUGCACGAAAGCGUGGGGAGCAAAACAGGAUUAGAUACCCUGGUAGUCCACGCCCUAAACGAUGUCAACUAGUUGUGGGGAUUCACUUCCUUAGUAACGUAGCUAACGCGUGAAGUUGACCGCCUGGGGAGUACGGUCGCAAGAUUAAAACUUAAA